GCCUUUAUAGUUUAAUCGGUAAAACUCAUAUUUCAUACGUAUGUAACGAAGGUUCGAAUCCUCCUAUAGGCU
rnacentral:tRNA from 1 species